rnacentral:rRNA from 1 species
ACAAGCGGUGGAGCAUGUGGUUUAAUUUCGAAGCAACGCGAAGAACCUUACCAGGCCUUGACAUGCAGAGAACUUUCCAGAGAUGGAUUGGUGCCUUCGGGAACUCUGACACAGGUGCUGCAUGGCUGUCGUCAGCUCGUGUCGUGAGAUGUUGGGUUAAGUCCCGUAACGAGCGCAACCCUUGUCCUUAGUUACCAGCACGUUAUGGUGGGGACUCUAGCGAGACUGCCAGUGAUAAACUGGAGGAAGGUGGGGAUGACGUCAAAUCAUCAUGGCCCUUACGGCCUGGGCUACACACGUGCUACAAUGGUCGGUACAAAGGGUUGCCAAGCCGCGAGGUGGAGCUAAUCCCAUAAAACCGAUCGUAGUCCGGAUCGCAGUCUGCAACUCGACUGCGUGAAGUCGGAAUCGCUAGUAAUCGUGAAUCAGAAUGUCACGGUGAAUACGUUCCCGGGCCUU